rnacentral:rRNA from 1 species
GACAUAGGUGGCAACGUAUCCGGAAUUAUUGGCGUAAAGGAUGCGUAGAUGGCAUGAUAAGUUGCUGGUGGUAAAUCGAGGCUCAACCUCGUGGAAGCUGGUAAUACUGUCAUACUAGAGUACAGGAGAGGUUAACGGAACUCCAUGUGGAGCGGUAAAAUGCGUAGAUAUAUGGAUGAACAUCAAUAACGGCGAAGGCAGUUAACUAUUCUGUUACUGACAUUUGGAGGCAUGAAAGCGUGGGGAGCAAAAACGG